AACAAAAACAUGUCCUCUUGUUUUUAUUUGAGGUCUGACCUGCCCAGUGAAUAGUAUAUUUUAACGGCCGCGGUAUAUUGACCGUGAAAGGUAGCAUAAUCAUUAGUCUUUUAAUAGGAGGCUGGAAUGAAGGGUUUGACGAAAAGUUAGCUGUCUCAGUUAUAAAUUUGAACUUAACUUUUAAGUUAAAAGGCUUAAAUAUUGUUGGUGGACGAGAAGACCCUAUAGAGCUUUACAUUUAUUUAAAUAUAUUUAUUUAGUACUAUUAUUUGAAUUUAUUUUUAAUAAUUGUUUUGUUGGGGUGACAAAAAAUAUAAGUUUAACUUUUGUUAUUUUAUAGUCAUUAAUUUAUGUUUAUUGGAUCCAAAAUUUUUGAUCAUUAGUUUAAGUUACCUUAGGGAUAACAGCGUAAUCUUCUUUCAGAGUUCAAAUUUACAAGAAGGCUUGCGACCUCGAUGUUGGAUUAAGAUAAUAAUUAGG
rnacentral:rRNA from 1 species